GUGCUCGCUUCAGCAGCACAUAUACUAAAAAAAUUGGAACGAUGUAAAGAAGAUUAGCAUGGCCCCUGAACAAGGAUGACAUGCAAAUUCGUGAAGUGUUCCAUAUUUUU
rnacentral:snRNA from 1 species